CAUGCAGUCGAGGGGUAUAGGUUUUCGGAUCUAGAGACCGGCGCACGGGUGCGUAACGCGUAUGCAAUCUACCUUUUACAGAGGGAUAGCCCAGAGAAAUUUGGAUUAAUACCUCAUAGUAUUAUGAAAUGGCAUCAUUUUAUAAUUAAAGUCACAACGGUAAAAGAUGAGCAUGCGUCCCAUUAGCUAGUUGGUAAGGUAACGGCUUACCAAGGCAACGAUGGGUAGGGGUCCUGAGAGGGAGAUCCCCCACACUGGUACUGAGACACGGACCAGACUCCUACGGGAGGCAGCAGUGAGGAAUAUUGGACAAUGGGCGCAAGCCUGAUCCAGCCAUGCCGCGUGCAGGAUGACGGUCCUAUGGAUUGUAAACUGCUUUUGUACGAGAAGAAACACUACUUCGUGAAGUAGCUUGACGGUAUCGUAAGAAUAAGGAUCGGCUAACUCCGUGCCAGCAGCCGCGGUAAUACGGAGGAUCCAAGCGUUAUCCGGAAUCAUUGGGUUUAAAGGGUCCGUAGGCGGUUUAGUAAGUCAGUGGUGAAAGCCCAUCGCUCAACGGUGGAACGGCCAUUGAUACUGCUAGACUUGAAUUAUUAGGAAGUAACUAGAAUAUGUAGUGUAGCGGUGAAAUGCUUAGAGAUUACAUGGAAUACCAAUUGCGAAGGCAGGUUACUACUAAUUGAUUGACGCUGAUGGACGAAAGCGUGGGUAGCGAACAGGAUUAGAUACCCUGGUAGUCCACGCCGUAAACGAUGGAUACUAGCUGUUGG
rnacentral:rRNA from 1 species